rnacentral:rRNA from 1 species
AUUGAACGCUGGCGGCAGGCUUAACACAUGCAAGUCGAGCGGUAACAGAGAGAAGCUUGCUUCUCUGCUGACGAGCGGCGGACGGGUGAGUAAUGCCUAGGAAUCUGCCUAGUAGUGGGGGAUAACUUGCCGAAAGGUAAGCUAAUACCGCAUACGUCCUACGGGAGAAAGGAGGGGAUCUUCGGGCCUUUCGCUAUUAGAUGAGCUUGGGUCGGAUUAGUUAGUUGGUGAGGUAAUGGCUCACCAAGACCGCGAUCCGUAACUGGUCUGAGAGGAUGAUCAGUCACAAUGGAACCGAGACACGGGCCAGACUCCUACGGGAGGCAGCAGUGGGGAAUAUUGGACAAUGGGGGGAACCCUGAUCCAGCCAUGCAGCGUGUGUGAAGAAGGUCUUAGGAUUGUAAAGCACUUUAAGUUGGGAGGAAGAGCAGUUAACUAAUAUUUGACUGUUUUGACGUUACCGACAGAAUAAGCACCGGCUAACUUCGUGCCAGCCGCCGCAGUAA